UAUUUUUUAUGAAUUUUGGUACCAAUUUUUAUGAUGACACGUGGCAGAAUAUGAUGUGCAAAUGAUACGAACUCUCUUUGGAAGAAAACCUACUUGUAUGGAAGCAGUAUCUGUAAAAUCCAAUUCGGCAAUUCGACGCCAUACAAUUCCUUUGUGGAACACGACGACUCGUUUUCUCUCUCUCUACCCUCCUUCUUCCCUCACUUGUUUUUGUUUAUGAUCACAAUUCAACUGAAAAUUCCUUGAUUAAUACACGCCAUUGUCAAUUUUGGUACGUAUCGGAAGAAUUGAAUUCCUUGACUCGCACAGAAUCAUAUGCUGCCGCCACAUGUUGCCGCGACGUCGUUUUCGUGAUUCUCUUGAUCAGCGAAGCGAUUUUGAUGUCUGAUAGAGAUCGGGCGGAGGCUGAUGAGGGCGGAGGAAUCAACGGCGGCGAUGAAGAGGGUAGAGAGUGGAGGUGCAAGAGGUGUGGGAGUAAGGGGAAAAGGCCGGCCUUCUUUCGGUUGAGGAAGAGCAAGAAACUGCUUCAGCAGAAGCGGAAGCAGAAGCAGAGUGGCGUUUAUGUGAAUUCACGGAGUUGGGGCAGAAGCGGUGGGUGGUGUUGCUUGUGCCUGCGGCAGCCCAAGACUCUCGAUUCUUCCGGUUUUGAUUCUCAUUUGUAAGUCAGGUGCACACGAUUCAGACGUGAUAGAAGACUAUAACCAGGCUUUAAGGUUUUUUUGGGAGCUUCAGUGAGAACUACAUGAACUUUCACUUUUUUUUUCUAGUACUACUAUUUGUUUUACUUUGAAAUGUAACAGAAGCAGUACUAGAUUAUUUUAAAAUGCAAAUUUUGUUUUACUUUCACAUUUCCCUUGCACUUUCAUGUCUCUCUGCAGUGUCUCCUCCAAGCCAUAUUUUAUUUGUCAUUACUAUCAGGUUUGUUAUGAACCUGAAGUUCCAUAGUAGUAUGUCAGGUACGAAGGCGUUGUGCCAAGAUUUAGUGAUGUUGGACGCUAAUCAUCGUGUUUGAUCAUUUCUGUGUGUGGUGAUGAUCACAUUUUAUUUGAAUUGCCUUCUAUUUGAUGGCAAACUUAGGUUACUGUAAAGAUUUUAAGAUACCGAAAGGUGAAAUUUAGUUUUCUAUGACUGCAGAUUUUUCAUUUC